rnacentral:rRNA from 1 species
UACGGAGGAUCCAAGCGUUAUCCGGAUUUAUUGGGUUUAAAGGGUGCGUAGGCGGCCUAUUAAGUCAGGGGUGAAAGACGGUGGCUCAACCAUCGCAGUGCCUUUGAUACUGAUAGGCUUGAAUACACUAGAGGUAGGCGGAAUGUGACAAGUAGCGGUGAAAUGCAUAGAUAUGUCACAGAACACCGAUUGCGAAGGCAGCUUACUAUGGUGUCAUUGACGCUGAGGCACGAAAAGCGUGGGGAUCAAACAGG